GAUCAUUAUUGAAAUAAACCUGAUAGGUUGCUGCUGGUUCUCUAGGGAGCAUGUGCACACUUGUCAUCUUUAUAUCUCCACCUGUGCACCUUUUGUAGGCCUGAAUAACUUUCUGAAUGCCUAGGCAAUUCAGGUUUGAGGAUUGACUCUUCGUCUUUCCUUACAUUUUUAGGCCUAUGUUUCUUCAUAUACCCCAAUGUAUGUUAUAGAAUGUAGUAAUGGGCCUUUGUGCCUAUAAACCUAUACAACUUUCAGCAACGGAUCUCUUGGCUCUCGCAUCGAUGAAGAACGCAGCGAAAUGCGAUAAGUAAUGUGAAUUGCAGAAUUCAGUGAAUCAUCGAAUCUUUGAACGCACCUUGCGCUCCUUGGUAUUCCGAGGAGCAUGCCUGUUUGAGUGUCAUUAAUAUAUCAACCUCCUCAAGUUUUUGCUUGUUGAGUUUGGAUGUGGGGGUUUUUUUUUGUUGGUCUCUUUUCUGAGGUCAGCUCCCCUGAAAUGCAUUAGCGGAACAAUUUGUUGACCGUUCAUUGGUGUGAUAAACUAUCUACGCUAUUGACGUGAAGCAGGUUCAGCUUCUAACAGUCCAUUGACUUGGACAAAUUUUCAUUAAUGUGACCUCAAAUCAGGUAGG
rnacentral:rRNA from 1 species